UACGAAGGGGGCUAGCGUUGCUCGGAAUUACUGGGCGUAAAGCGCACGUAGGCGGGUUCUUAAGUCGGUGGUGAAAUCCUGGAGCUCAACUCCAGAACUGCCUUCGAAACUGGGAAUCUUGAGUCCGGGAGAGGUGAGUGGAACUGCGAGUGUAGAGGUGAAAUUCGUAGAUAUUCGCAAGAACACCAGUGGCGAAGGCGGCUCACUGGCCCGAUACUGACGCUGAGGCACGAAAGCGUGGGGAGCGAACAGG
rnacentral:rRNA from 1 species